rnacentral:rRNA from 1 species
GACCGUACCGCAAACCGACACUGGUGCGCGAGAUGAGUAUUCUAAGGCGCUUGAGAGAACUCAGGAGAAGGAACUCGGCAAAUUGACACCGUAACUUCGGAAGAAGGUGUGCCUUUAGUAGGUGAACCAUUUACUUGGGGAGCCCAAUGAGGCUGCAAAAAUCGGUGGCUGCAACUGUUUAUUAAAAACACAGCACUCUGCUAAGACGAAAGUCGACGUAUAGGGUGUGACGCCUGCCCGGUGCUGGAAGAUUAAAUGAUGGGGUGCAAGCUCUUGAUUGAAGUCCCAGUAAACGGCGGCCGUAACAAUAACGGUCCUAAGGUAGCGAAAUUCCUUGUCGGGUAAGUUCCGACCUGCACGAAUGGCGUAAUGAUGGCCACACUGUCUCCUCCUGAGACUCAGCGAAGUUGAAAUGUUUGUGAUGAUGCAAUCUCCCCGCGGAAAGACGGAAAGACCCCAUGAACCUUUACUGUAGCUUUGUAUUGGACUUUGAACAGAUCUGUGUAGGAUAGGUGGGAGGCUUUGAAGUGUGGUCGCUAGAUCGCAUGGAGCCAACGUUGAAAUACCACCCUGGUGUGUUUGAGGUUCUAACCUAGGUCCAUUAUCUGGAUCGGGGACAGUGCAUGGUAGGCAGUUUGACUGGGGCGGUCUCCUCCCAAAGUGUAACGGAGGAGUUCGAAGGUACGCUAGGUACGGUCGGACAUCGUGCUAAUAGUGCAAUGGCAUAAGCGUGCUUAACUGCGAGACUGACAAGUCGAGCAGAUGCGAAAGCAGGACAUAGUGAUCCGGUGGUUCUGUAUGGAAGGGCCAUCGCUCAACGGAUAAAAGGUACUCUGGGGAUAACAGGCUGAUACCGCCCAAGAGUUCAUAUCGACGGCGGUUUGGCACCUCGAUGUCGGCUCAUCUCAUCCUGGGGCUGUAGCCGGUCCCAAGGGUAUGGCUGUUCGCCAUUUAAAGAGGUACGUGAGCUGGGUUUAAAACGUCGUGAGACAGUUUGGUCCCUAUCUUCCGUGGGCGCUGCAGAUUUGAGGAAGCCUGCUCCUAGUACGAGAGGACCGGAGUGGACGAACCUCUGGUGUAUCGGUUGUCACGCCAGUGGCAUUGCCGAGUAGCUAAGUUCGGAAGAGAUAACCGCUGAAAGCAUCUAAGCGGGAAACUCGUUUCAAGAUAUAUCUGCCGGGGCCUUGAGCCCCCUAAAGAGUCGUUCAAGACCAGGACGUUGAUAGGUCAGGUGUGGAAGCCAA